UGCCAUCGCAGCGUUGCCAGAUGAUCGCGGACAGUCUGGACGAUGACAAGCCAGUAAACGUGCCCGUGACGUCGGACGAUGAGGGUGACGAGGAAACGAUCCCGCAGAGUACGGAGGGCAUCCAUCACCCUUUCAAGAUCAAGGACAAGUCUGACGAGUACACGGUCACUCACUACGUUCAUUACAAGAGGCCGGACAGGACUCGUAUGUACCACAGAUCUGCUACAAGUAAGAAGUGGACAACUGUGGAGCACAUUUUUUUAAUUCCCGACAAGAUACAUUUAACUUUUUGUUAUAUUUCAGUUUUUUUUUAAAACGUCUCGUGGCCCUGUACAAACCUGCUCUUUGUAAUUUAGUAGCAAGAUGGCUAUUUAAGCCUGCCACCCAACAGUCAGGGUGGAGCACACAAAUCAUUGCCACUCCUGGGAGAGCGAGUCAGAUGGACGCCACAAAUUAUAACUCGUGAAACAGACGCAAAAUUCUUGGCCACGCGGUUGCCGUGGUAAAGAAAAAAAAAGUUUAACUCGUGAGCAAAAAAGUUGCGAAUCACAAAUCCCAUUUGGGGGGUUUAAUUCCUCAUCUUUGUCAAAUCAUCACCCUUGGAUCAAUGAAGUGAGUAGCACCACUCUGUAGGAUAUACACAGCAGUGCUUAUAUCAAGAGACUGGUCCUCAAGCCCGAGGAAUGUGGAAUUUCGACCUGUGGAUCUGGGCUGGCAGUGCCCAUGAGCGGUUGCCCAUCGCUGCUGGAAUGUUAUUUCGUCUAAUCGACGAAAGCACGCCCCCUUGUAAGGGUUGUCCGUACCGAGCCCAUCGUCCUGACUGACUUGCUUAACGGGUAGACGCAGCUUGAAAACGCGCGCGCUCGCGCCGAGUUGUGUUUACAGCCCUCUCCUCCCCCUUUUUAUCAAUCCACUCGCAGACGAAUACGCACCCUCCUCCCCACGUGUCGCGUCGGUCGUGGGCCUUACCAGUCGGUCCGUCCGUACGGGGGUUGUUGGCCACCGCCGAGAAUCAAGUUCGGAGUCGCCGGGGUUCAUAACGCCGCGGCGUUCUGCCAAACGCUGCGUCGUCCCCUCCCGCCGACUAAACACGAGUCUGGUGUCCUUUUUGCUUUGGCUACGAAUCGGCGAUUGGUUCGCAGCGGCGUGACGGUCAAAAUGCGCUCCUUGUAAAUAAAAGCAAGAGAGAGGCGACAGUGGUUCACCUUUCUGGACCAAGAGUUCACUUUGCGUUAAAAAAAACUAAUCCCAUGGCAUGCGCAAACUUCCAUUGCUUUAACAUGGCUGGAUCCCACAAUUGCACCGGCACACGUGGUUGUGUGGCUCUCGUGCCGGCUCCUACAAUGCACUGCAAGUCGCGCUGGGGAGUGGCGGUGCCACUGCAGAUCGUGGCUUUUAAAACCUUUUUUUUUUGCCACGAGCAAACCUCCGGCCUGGUAGCAGGGGUGGGGGGGGGGGAUCAUUCGACGCGUCGCCCCAGGCUUUGCAAAAUCGCAGCCAUGUUCAGGUUUUACCUUCCUCUAAACGUUGACCGAGACGGGCACGCGCGACAAUUUGAUCAGUGUCCCCGGAAAGGCCUCGUAACCACCCCCACACAGUUCCCGUUUAUUUCUGAAGACAACCCACGCUCGCUAGCUUCAUUUGAAUGUUUACAGUCGAUUUUUUUGGUAGUUUUAUUGUAACGUCUCCCCCCACAGAAUGGCCGCGCAUAAUUUAAUUAUUCUUUUCUCCACUUAACAGAAGCCCACUCCGGCUUUAUUAACUCUUGAGAUCGUGUGGAUUAUCAGGUUUUACAGAACGCCCCUGUCAACGGUCAAUGUCUCGACGAUAACCGUUUGCGGCAGAUUGUGUUGAGAAGAGCCCGGCCGUUGAAGGGAACGUGGCAUUGUUUGCAGAUGAUUUACUUAAUUGUUAAUUUUUGUACUUGAUUUAAAAGGUGAGGGCCCGAGUGGAACGGCAUUUUAUCAUUGUUCGGCAAGUGUAUGGGGAGCUUUGAGUAUCGGUGACCCCCACCACACCUUGUUGAAGGACCCAUGAUCGGUCCCAUUAAUUUGUUCUCAAGGUUCCUCAUCCGGGACCUCCGCUCAGUCUGAAAUUAGCUUCUCGUUUUGGCCGUUUUACUGUUUUUAAACCUUCGAUUAAACCUCACGGUUGGCAACAAUUGGAUAUGCUUAAAUUUUGAUUUAAAGCUUUCGUGACUGCAGGGAUUCAUCUUCUUGGUUCUUUCUGUAAAGUCACGUAGAAGGGAAGUAAUAAAAUAAUAAAAAUUAAACAUAAUAAAAUUAUUCUCACGACGUUUCGGCCAC